GCGUCAGUGGUCCAAUGGUAAGAUAGCGGCCUUCCAAGCCGUAGAUCCCGGUUCGAUUCCGGGCUGUCGCA
rnacentral:tRNA from 1 species